UAUCCAUAGCGUCUUUCCUUCCGCCCCGAGCAGCCGCGCUGCUAGCGCUUGCGAACCCCGCCGCCACCUCAAUUCCUCCGCGUUCGGUGCGACGCCGGAGCAUGCCUCGCAUGCCGGCGAGCUGACCAUCGAGCAGCAGCCACCGCGCCGCCCUCCUGCUUUGCCUUUUUCCCGUCCUUCCCUCCUCUCUCACCUCUCUCUGCCUCGCCUACACUGCGACACAGGGACGCCGCCGGCACGUGGAACGAGGCCGCCCCAACUGGAUCCACAUCCUCCUCCAUCGCCUGCUCUCCGCCGUCCGUCCUCACCGCGAAUCGGUCGUGCCGGUAGCCGUCGUUGCCAGAUCCUAGCUUGGCCACCCGCUGAAAGAUCCAGCGCCCUGCAACACUAACCUAUGCUCCAAUCUUUUCCCUGCCCAGCUCCAAUCUUUGAUCCGUCCAUGUUUGAGGUAAUGUGUACAGAGAACGAGAUUGCCGAGCCAACUCAGCAGGGAAGUAUCUAUCUGUUACUGCUAUUUCUGCAAUUUUGUAAGCCAGAUUUGUGCCAAGUGCAUUGCAUAAUAUAUCUCUAAAGGUCAUUGCUAUUUCUAUGAUCUUCCAUCAAUUUUUAUUACAACAGAAAAUGGUCCUUAUCACAUAUAUAGUAUGCACUGGACAACUGAUAUAUAUGAUGGUUGCAAUGGGCUGAUGGCGCAUCUAUUCACACCUUGGACAUUCAUCGCAAGCACACAAAUAAGAGUGACUCCAAGCUUUUUUCAGAACUGAGUUAGUAGUUACGUUAUCCGUAAGAGUAUCUUAGGUUUUAAGUGACAAUCUUCAAACUCUCUCUGCUUUAUUAAUUUACUUUUUAUAAAUAAUAUGAAGACUCAAAUUUGAAAAAUUAAACCAAUAAGUGUAUUUAGUGAAGUCAGAGGUCUGUUUGGAAUGUUCUUAGUGCAAGUCUGACAAUACAGUCAUGCUUCUUCUAUUUACUUUCAGUUCUAAAUACAUUUGUGAUUUUCUAUAUGCUGUACUACUAAACUGGGUGUGCUAAACCAAACAUAUAGUAUAUGAAAAGGAUUCUAAAAUGUGAGCUUAUAUUGACAACUCUUGAAAAUAUAUGGUUGUUUUACUGUUUUUGCCAUGAACUUGGGGAGCUUGGGAUGGAGUAUGGUGUCAAUGAUCGGUAUAUACCAGAACAAUAUUUUUGUGAUAUUGUAUAUACUAACUUAGUGAUAAUGGAGUAUAUACAACAUUUUUGUCAUGGACUCUAUACCGCAUUUUUGAACUGGUUAGAAUAGCUGAUGCCUUUUUUAUCUUCCUUGUGGUAUAUGCUACCAUCAAAGGGAGUAUAUAAGGUACUAAUUUCAAGUAUAUACUAUUGUACUAUAUUUUGUCUAUAUACAUCUACAACCAAGUAGUAUGUACACUGCUCUUUGUGCACGGCAGUAUAUACAUCAUUUUUUGUAAGGCAAUAUAUAAUACCUUUUUUUGUGAACCAGUAUACUACUUUAUUUUAGUCAGUAUAUACAUAAUUUUUGGUCGAUAUAUACUACUUUUCUGUAGUCGGCAUAUACUACUGUUCGUGAUAUAGUAAAGGGUAAAGCAGCGUGCACAUGACACGCAGCAGCCGUUGUCGACUAUACGGUGGUGCCGCUGCAUCGAUCUAGCAGUGCAUGUCACGCCACCACCGUUUCUUAUUGCUGCCGUUGUCGAUGAGAUUGGUGGUGCCGUCACAUGGAUCGAUCAGUGCACACCAUGCUGCCAUGUUGUCGACGAGAUGGUGGUGCCGUCUUAUCCACGAACAGUUCACCUACUCAUUAUCGUCGCAUCCGCUAUGUGACUAGCUGCGUCAAUGGCUUUGUGCCUCGAACCAGAUUGCUUUCAUGCAAAGCCUGUCAUGUUUGCCUCUUAAUGACAACAUCCGCUAAGUCAGUUCUCUCUCACUCUCACGCUCUCUCUCUCUCUCUACUAUUGCAACCAACUGCGAUGAUCUUCUCCAGGUUUUUUGGGCUAGAUACUGAGAUGGCACCACUGCGUUGCUGAAGUUAAACCCUGUUUAUUGGGACGUACAAGCCGGCGGCAAGCACACAUGGCGGCCGGAGACAGGCCAUGUUUUUCCAAUGACUGCUGCUAGGAUUGAUGUCCUAUUGCAGGAGAAACAAUGGCAACUGUCGCAUCGUUUUGUCCAGCGAUGAUAUCAUCCAUGUCUAUUAUUUUGUUGACAAUCACCACAGGCACUCAAUUCACGAGCCAAACAUUGAUGUGGGCUACCAUGGGGGCUAGGAAGCAGCAUCAGCUUGAAGCUAACUUAAAAUUAACUCUAAUGAGCAUUUGGUCUUUAUUCUGUCUCGAUACAAACACAUCAACGUGUGGGCUACCAUCCAUUGAUGCGCAGAGACCAGGUUACGAUGGCAACAUUUAGGCCAAUGUUUUUAUCUACCGAUCGAUCUACAAUUUCCUUUUUCUAUUUAGAGUUGAUCUCUAUUUUCUCUUUUUCUGUUCAUGCUUGUGGCAAAAUUGGAGAUAUUCAUGUCUCACGGGUGUUGCUGCUGCAGCCCAUUCAUGGCGAGGAUACAUGGCUGAUGGCCCACAGAUCCUUAGGGGAUGAAAGGAUCCCCACAUGACUACAGGAAUAGCACUAAAUAAAUUGUGUACUAACUAGAGCAAUGAUAUAUUUCAUAGGUCUAGGAUAUAUAUGUGAAAUAACAAUUUACUUCAUAUAACUACUAGCCUGACAAGUAUUUGGCAUUCUGUCUUUUUAAUAAAGUAGCUGAUCUUUCUACAA